rnacentral:rRNA from 1 species
AUUGAACGCUGGAGGCGUGCUUAACACAUGCAAGUCGUGCGAGAAAGGGACUUCGGUCCUGAGUAGAGCGGCGCACGGGUGAGUAACGCGUGGGUGAUCUCCCUUGGUGAUCGGGAUAACAGCGGGAAACUGCUGCUAAUACCGGAUAAUCUUCAUGUUUAACUUCAUGGGGUAAAGGUGGCCUCUGCUUGCAAGCUACCACAUCAAGAUGAGCCCGCGUCUCAUUAGCUAGUUGGUAGGGUAAUGGCCUACCAAGGCUACGAUGAGUAGCUGGUCUGAGAGGAUGACCAGCCACACUGGGACUGGAACACGGCCCAGACUCCUACGGGAGGCAGCAGUGGGGAAUAUUGCGCAAUGGGCGAAAGCCUGACGCAGCGACGCCUCGUGAGGGAUGAAGGUCUUCGGAUCGUAAACCUCUGUCAAGAGGGAAGAAACCCUUGGAUUCGAAUAGGGUCCUUGGCUGACGGUACCUCAAAGGAAGCACCGCUAAUUCCGUGC